rnacentral:lncRNA from 1 species
UUUAAUUUAAAAAUGAAAUUUAAUAAUAAUAAGAAGGGAAAAUAUAUAACACAUCUUCCAAAUUACGAUGUCACAUGUUGUUGUGCGUGGCUGAGGGAGAGUAUGGAGACGAGAGAGAAACAAAUUGGAUAAGUGAGGAAGGUGAAUUAGAGAAAAUGUUGGAGUUUGUUUUUUUUCAAUUGGGGAUGACAGAGAAAAUGUUGGAGUGAGAGAGAUGAAAGAGAAAGGGAUGAGAGAAAUGAAGGAGGUGAGUAAGGGUUUGGGGGUUUCUUUUUUUUUAGUUUUGAGAAUGAAAAUUAUUUAAAUGUUCUUAACCUUAAAACUUAGAAUCCAUGAUAAAUUAGGGUAUUUUUGUCUACUAUAAUCCGGUACACAUUAUUAUUAAAACGUAUCAACUGAAU